AACUUAGCAGAGAUGCUUUGGUGCCUUCGGGAACUCUGAGACAGGUGCUGCAUGGCUGUCGUCAGCUCGUGUUGUGAAAUGUUGGGUUAAGUCCCGCAACGAGCGCAACCCUUAUCCUUUGUUGCCAGCGGUCCGGCCGGGAACUCAAAGGAGACUGCCAGUGAUAAACUGGAGGAAGGUGGGGAUGACGUCAAGCCAUCAUGGCCCUUACGAGUAGGGCUACACACGUGCUACAAUGGCGCAUACAAAGAGAAGCGACCUCGCGAGAGCAAGCGGACCUCAUAAAGUGCGUCGUAGUCCGGAUUGGAGUCUGCAACUCGACUCCAUGAAGUCGGAAUCGCUAGUAAUCGUGGAUCAGAAUGCCACGGUGAAUACGUUCCCGGGCCUUGUACACACCGCCCGUCACACCAUGGGAGUGGGUUGCAAAAGAAGUAGGUAGCUUAACCUUCGGGAGGGCGCUUACCACUUUGUGAUUCAUGACUGGGGUGAAGUCGUAACAAGGUAAGCGUAGUGCU
rnacentral:rRNA from 1 species